UGCUGCACCCGCUGAGUUUCUCCAGCAUUUUUGUCUCCCCCAGAGAUGCAUAUGCAAUGGAUGCAGAUUAUUUUUUUCAAAUAAUAUCUAAACUACAUUUGAUCCUACAAUAUAGCUCAUAUUCAUGUACACCUCAACCAUCUUCUGCUAAAAUUCCUUCGAACUUUUGAAAAAUGUUUUGAUAUAAAAUAAAUAUGUGAUUUUAUUUUUAAAUGGCCUGAGACAAAGAUAUUGUUGUUCAGAGGGACCUGGAUGUACCUUGUACACAAUCGUUGCAGGUUUUACAGCUUGCGAUUCCAAAGGCAAGCAAUGUUGGCCAUUAUUAAACAAAUAAAGACGCCUCAGGGCAAUUAUAUAAGGCCCUUGUGUCUUCAGUCUGGUCUCCAUGCUCAGGGAAAGAUAAUCCGACCACAGAAGGAGUACUACGAAGAUUCACUAGAUUGAUUCCUGGCGGAAUGGGUAGAAGAUAUGUGGUUAUUCCAUGAGGGGAGAUUAAGCAUAUCAGAGUCUUCGAGUCAUACAGCAUGGAAAUAAGCCCUUCGGCCCAACUUGCCCAUGCUGACCAAGAUCCCGCAGCAACACUAGUCCCACCAGCCUGCAUUUGCCCCAUAUUCCUCUAAAGCUUUCCUAUCCAUGUACCUGUCUAGAUGUCAUUUUAAAUGUAUUUCAAAUGUUAUUAAAGUUCCAAAUAUCUUUUACAUGUUGUUGCAUUGGACCUAUACACGCAGGAGUUUAGAAGAAUAAAAGGCGAUCUGAUUGAAA